UACAGAGGGGGCUAGCGUUGUUCGGAAUUACUGGGCGUAAAGGGCGCGUAGGUGGCCUGUUAAGUCGAACGUGAAAUCCCCGGGCUCAACCCGGGAACUGCGUCGAGACUGGCAGGCUCGAAUCCGGGAGAGGGAUGUGGAAUUCCUAGUGUAGAGGUGAAAUUCGUAGAUAUUAGGAAGAACACCAGUGGCGAAGGCGGCUCACUGGCCCGGUAC
rnacentral:rRNA from 1 species